GGGCACCCCUAUGCCUCUUAGGCGGUGGAUCGAAACCACAAUGUCCCUCUUACAAUUCUAAUAAAGAACAUGUAAAGAAAUAAAAUUGUUAAAGGAUGUUAGAGUGUUAAAUUUGGAGGAACAUAAGUCAACCCUCCAUGGCAUGACUGUUUUGUUUUUUGUUUUUUUGUAGAAGAAAAUAUUUUUGCAGUUUUGUCAGAGCUUCAUCAUCUGUAAUUACACAUCAAUCAUAAAGUCGGACCAUGACACUUUCUGGAACCAAAUAUUAUUAUUACCUUUAUGUUGCUUGUUAUUUAUUUAUUAUUUCUUUUUGUUACCUCAGGUCAACGCCAUGCCAUAGAAGGGUAAUGAACUAUUAAAGAACAAAGUCUGAAAUUUUUUUGUUUAAAAAGAAUAAAUGUUAAAUUUUAUGAAAAUAUAAAAUGGGUGAAGUGUUAGGAGGAUCUAAUUGUCAUCUUUAAAGUAAAAAAGUAUUAAAAUUAUAUUCACUAAGUUGUUAACCAAAAUGUAAAUUGAAUAGAAUUGUAGGAUGAUAUUUCAAAACUUAAUAAAAUGCAAAAAUGAAUAAAGUGUUAGGUUAAUAUUUAAAAUGAAUAAAAUGUAAAAUGAAUAAAAGGUAGAUAUUACUUAAAACUUAAUAAAGUAAAAUUAGAAAUGUUAAGGUACUAUCCUUUAAAGUCAAUGAAGCAAUAAUGAGUAAUGCGUAAAACAAUGUGUUAGUUUUAAAAACCAAACUUAUUGAAAUUUCUAUGUAAUAUUUAAAAGUUAAUGAACUACAGAAAGGAUGCAAUGUUAAACGAAAUGAAAUGGUAAGAAAAGCUUAGAAGUCUGAGUAUUGAAAGGACAGAACAAUGAACACAUUCAUAAAACAGCAAACCAAUGCAAUAAAUCAGGAUCAAGGGCAGCACAGUCAAAAUAUACUGAUAUGAAUGAACUGUGAUGAGGAAACAAGUAAAAAUGCUCUCUAAGUAAAAUGCAAUAAUAGUAAUAAAAUCUAAUCAUAUCAGUCUCUCUAUAGCGAGACCUUUCUACGUCAAAUCAGUUUCUGCGUGUGUCCAGAUGUAGAGCCGGCGCAGCUCGAUAGGAAACCCCAGGAGGCUUCAGUGUGGCGUUUCAGCUUUAACUCGGUCCACCAAUCGUGGAAGGCGCCCACAGUCUCACACCCCGGCACACCCAGAAAGGAUUGGACUUCAUUCUGCAACAGAAAAAACACAACAAAAAGCAAAAUCAAUGGAUUAUAUAAAGAACAUUAAAGUGAAUGAAAAAAUGUUGUUUUGUCACUAGAUACUAGUACUGCCCUUAUACUAUAGAAAGCUGGAGGUCCACGGUCGUCUUUAGGUUCUGGGAAAACAUCUGAUAGGCAGGUGGGGUUCUAUUGGUACCGCUGCCCUUCUCUGUGUUGGAAGUGAUGCACUGAACAGCCGAGGACCUCAGGCAGGGAACAGCAGCAUCCACAGGUGAUGAGGAGAGCAAGGAAGGUUCUUUAAGAUUCUGCAUCAUCUGAUUGUAAAUAUAAUGUUCUUUUUUCUUUAUUUAAAGGCUGCUCCUUGAAGCUGAAGAUCAAGAUUUUUUUUAUUUUCAUACUAAGCCAAUAGAGCAUCAAUAUAUCAGUAACAUCUGUUAUUUCAGUUCUCCUCUUAAUAAUAGCAAAAGAAAUGUUUAAAGUCAGUAACACCUUGUACAUUUCAACCUUCAAAAAUAACUUUGCUUGUUUUAAGUGUUGGCAUAUUCAUAGGAUCAGACAAAAUCAGAAACCAAACAAAAAAAUCAAGUAAAAGAUCAGAUUAUGAAAUAAAUGUA